AUAAUUAAAGGCCUUUUAGCUAAGAUCAAGUGUCCUAUCUGUCCUUACAAGUUUAAUAUCUGAUAUGUCUUCUGUGGACAAUAUAGUAUUUGAAUGUUGGGAAUUAGAAGAUGGAAUAGAAAUUUGUUCCAUCCACUCCAAUCAUCGACCUAGUUGGUAUUAGAGUGCAUCCAAGAAUGGUGUGUCUCUC